rnacentral:tRNA from 1 species
GCUCAUGUGGUAUAGUGGUUAGCAUUUCAGUUUGUGGAACCUUCAACUCACUGACGACGGCGGUUCGAUUCCGCCCAUGGGCA